ensembl:lncRNA
AGUUUGUUCUGGAGUUUGUUCCAUGAAUAAGGAGUGAAGUGAUUGAAAGCAGUGGUAUGCAACUCUGUGGAGACAACUAGAGUCUUUAAUGUAAACCACGUCUGUGAUCUGGUUUUGAAAUGUGUUGGUCUGGUGGAAAUUAAAGAAUAUGCAAAUGGAAGUGCUUUGUAAAUAAACAAGAGCGCAUGUUGCUCUCACCUCACAGAUAUAGGCCCAACCCACAUGUUGAUUUAGACUACAGUGAUGCGUUCUUUAACUAUCACCCAUUAUAACCCUAACCUUCACAGAUAGAGGCCCAACCCACAUGUUGAUAUCGAAUACAGUGAUGAGUUCUGUAACUGUCACUGGUCAAAAACCUCAGUGCACCAUGGGAAAUAGCAUCCAGGGGUUUUAGUGUGUUUGCUGAAGCAUGCAGAUAGAUAUCACCAUAAUCUAAAAUGGUCAUAAAAGUAGCCUGAACAAUUAGUCUUCUAUUAACAGAGGUCAGACAAGCCCUGUCUCUAUAGAAGAACCCUACAUGUUUUUUAAAAGAAAGCCUAUCAUCUAGUAUUUAUAUCCAGAGAUUGUUCGAUAUCAUCCAAUCUGGUAUGUACACAUGUUUAAACUGAGAGAUUUGACCUAGAAGAAACAUUCUUUGCAUUUAAAACAAGUUUAAACUGUAUAUUAGAUCUCUUUAGAAUUAAAAAAUCAGUCAAUUAUUGAAGCCCAAGAAACCCCUUUUGAGUGACUCUAAGGGCUCAGACUUGACACCUUCGACCAUGACAGCCUGAGUUCUGUCUUUAAGAUGAUUAUAAAACCACUAGCAGGCAUCAGUGCCAAGUCCUAUAGAUGACAGCUUACUCAGAAGGAUAGCAUGGGCUACAGUGUUGAAGGCUUUUGACUAGUCCACGAACAACAGCACAGCACAAGGCAUUAGCAAAAUAAUAUACAACAAGCGUGGUGGCCAUUGUGGUACUGUGUUUAGGUCUAAAACCAGACUGAUGUAAAGAAUACUAUUAACAGAAAAAAAAAGACUAAAGACUCAAGGUUCUUUGCCCGACAAGGGAGUCUAGAGAUGAUUAAGUCACUACUGCCCUUAUGUAAUGUGUGGAAGAUUAAUUAAUUAUGUUUGAAUAAAUUCCAUAUUAAUGCUGCAUGAAUACACUGAUCAGCCAUAACAUUAUGACCACCUGCCUAAUAUUGUGUAGGUCCCUCUUUUGCCGCCAAAACAGUCCUGACCUGUCGAGGCAUGGACUCCACUAGACCUCUGAAGGUGUGCUGUGGUAUCUGGCACCAAGACGUUAGCAGCAAAUCCUUUUGGAUUGAGAUCUUGGGAAUUUGGAGGCCAAGUCAACACUUUGAACUCGUUGUUGUGUUACUCAAACCAUUCCUGAACCAUUUUUGCUUUGUGACAGGGCGCAUUAUCCGGCUGAAAGAGGCCAGUGACAUCAGGGAAUAUCGUUGCCAUGAAAGGGUGCACAUGGUCUGCAACAAUGCUUAGUGCAUCCUGGUGUCAUGUGUUCUCCAGGAAAGUGACACACACACACCCGGCCAUCCAUGUGAUGUAAAAGAAAACAUGAUUCAUCAGACCAGGCCACUGUCUUCCAUUACUCUGUGGUCCAGUUCAGAUACUCACAUGUCCACUGUAGGCGCUUUCGGCCGUGGACGGGGUCAGCAUGGACACCCUGAC